UGCCAUACAUAAAGAAUAGUCACUGUGAAUGUCCUGCAGGACGAGGACCACAUGGCACCUGCAAGCCCCUUGGUGCAGUUGCACUGAUGUUAUUGUAAUUAAGUGACGGAAAGGGGCUUUAAGUCAAAAGAUCCUGCACAGAAAAUCUACAAACAUUUCACGAGCCUAAACAUUCAUACUCAGGAUCACCUGUGAAAGCUGAAAAUCUUUCCAGGAAGUGUAGACUGAAUGACGAUAUCUUUUAUGAUCCACGUCCUGAACAUUUAAGAUACAAGGCUGUGUACCCUGUCACAGAGUCAGAAAUAUGGUCAUCAACUACUGUUCUGAGACCUCAGAGAAUCUAACAUUUAGAUAUCUCAUUGAGCGAGCAGAUAUUAAGAAAGCAGUGCUUGCUGACCAUGACUACUUAGAAAGACCUUUCACAGAAUACUAGGUACAACUCAACAAGCUGUU